CCCACCGCUCUCCACCAGACCACGCUGAAUCAUAUGCCGGGAUGAUGCACCGCCACCCUCUCCUCACGCGGACGCGUUGGCCUGGAUGCCGCUGCUGCCCCAGUUCGCCCGCCCCUGCAACCUUUGUCUCCUGAAGCUAAGCGUGCCUGCAGGAGCAAGGGUUGGGAGAUUUGACGAAAAAUGAUAUAGUACAUGGCUAGACUGUCUAGGACUCCAACUAUACAUACAUGUAACUUCUACCUGAUGUUGAUGCCGGAGAUGGACCUUGGUUAUGAGGUCACUCAUAUAACACUCAAUACUGAUGGUCCAUCACUACUCCUAGCUGGAUCACAUAACAUAAAUGUUUUGUAUGUACAUGAGAGGGUAUCUGAAGAUGGUGAUACAAUCAUAUGCAGCACGCCGAGGAUUGGUAUCUCCAGGAUCUAUUAACCAGUUUGGAUAUGUAAUACAAAUGAGGAAAAUGAGGUUGUAUUAGGCGUAUGAACUGUAUUCUUUGGUACGAAACCUGAAUUUUCGUUUUGCAUCUUGUGCGUGCGGUCGUGGUCUGGACCUGGCGAUGCAGUGUUGUCGCGGCAGAGAGGCGUGGAGGAUUGGAGGCUCGCGUGGUGGCCGACGGCUGUGUCUGCGGACGAUGUCCAGGAUGCCGAGGAUUGGAGGGUGUCGGGGUGGACGAUCUCCUGCAGGAUGGCUGCUUGCGUCGACGAUGUCCAGCAGGAUGCAGAGGAUUGGAGGGUGUCGGGGCUGGCGUGGUAGACGAUUUCCGGCAGGACGGCAGGGUGUGGCGUAUGAGAAUCUGGGGCAGGGCGUGGGAGGAUGGCCUGCUGUAGGCUGUUUGAGGCUGUUUGAGGUAGGAGAUAUGCGGAAGUUAUUUUUCCCCUUAAUUUGUGGCUGAAUUUUAGAGAUACGGGUGGGAGAUUUGAUCUCACGGGGUGGGGAGAUGGAACAAAUCUGGAUUGUUAGAUUAAUAUGCACGGAUGGCUGAGAUGUAUUUUUCCAACGGCACUUCGUGCCUUUAUAAGUAGUAGAGAUUGGUAUCUCCAGGAUCUAUUAACCAGUUUGGAUAUGUAAUACAAAUGAGGAAAAUGAGGUUGUAUUAGGCGUA